rnacentral:rRNA from 1 species
AGAGCAAAUCUCAAAAAGAACAUCUCAGUUCAGAUUGCAGGCUGCAACUCGCCUGCAUGAAGUCGGAAUUGCUAGUAAUCGUAGGUCAGCAUACUACGGUGAAUACGUUCCCGGGCCUUGUACACACCGCCCGUCACACCAUGGGAGUCGGAAAUGCCCGAAGUCUGUGACCUAACCGAGAGGGAGGAGCAGCCGAAGGCAGGUCUGAUGACUGGGGUGAAGUCGUAACAAGGUACC